rnacentral:rRNA from 1 species
GAAGCCGGAAUUGCUAGUAAUGGCAGGUCAGCAUACUGCCGUGAAUACGUUCCCGGGCCUUGUACACACCGCCCGUCACACCAUGAGAGUUGGGGAUACCCGAAGCCUGUGAGCUAACUAUUUAUAGGAGCAGCAGUCGAAGGUAGAAUCAAUGAUUGGGGUGAAGUCGUAACAAGGUAUC